rnacentral:rRNA from 1 species
ACUCCUACGGGAGGCAGCAGUGGGGAAUAUUGCACAAUGGGGAAACCCUGAUGCAGCCAUGCCGCGUGUGUGAAGAAGGCCUCGGUUGUAAGCACUUCAGUAGGGAGGAAGGUAGUGUAGUUAACACCUGCACUAUUUGACGUUACCUACAGAAGAAGCACCGGCUAACUCCGUGCCAGCAGCCGCGGUAAUACGGAGGGGUGCGAGCGUUAAUCGGAAUUACUGGGCGUAAAGCGCAUGCAGGCGGCCUGUUAAGUCAGAUGUGAAAGCCCGGGGGCUUAACCUCGGAAUUGCAUUUGAAACUGGCAGGCUAGAGUCUUGUAGAGGGGGUAGAAUUUCAGGUGUAGCGGUGAAAUGCGUAGAGAUCUGAAGGAAUACCAGUGGCGAAGGCGGCCCCCUGGACAAAGACUGACGCUCAGAUGCGAAAGCGUGGGGAGCAAACAGGAUUAGAUACCCUGGUAGACUGUCA